rnacentral:rRNA from 1 species
UGCUGGCGAGUGGCGGACGGGUGAGUAAUAUCUGGGGAUCUGCCUAAUGAAGGGGGAUAACUACUGGAAACGGUAGCUAAUACCGCAUAAUGUCGUAAGACCAAAGUGGGGGACUUUGUUCAUCAAAGCCUCGCAUCAUUAGAUGAACCCAGACGAGAUUAGCUUGUAGGUAAGGUAACGGCUUACCUAGGCUACGAUCUCUAGCUGGUCUGAGAGGAUGGCCAGCCACACUGGAACUGAGAUACGGUCCAGACUCCUACGGGAGGCAGCAGUGGGGAAUAUUGCACAAUGGGCGCAAGCCUGAUGCAGCUAUGCCGCGUGUAUGAAGAAGGCCUUCGGGUUGUAAAGUACUUUCAGCGAGGAAGAAACGAUCAUUCUUAAUAAGAAUGAUAAUUGACGUUACUCGCAGAAGAAGCACCGGCUAACUCCGUGCCAGCAGCCGCGGUAAUACGGAGGGUGCUAGCGUUAAUCGGAAUUACUGGGCGUAAAGCGCACGCAGGUGGUUUGCUAAGUCAGAUGUGAAAUCCCUGGGCUUAACCUAGGAACUGCAUUUGAAACUGGCAAGCUAGAGUCUCGUAGAGGAAGGUAGAAUUCCAGGUGUAGCGGUGAAAUGCGUAGAGAUCUGGAGGAAUAUCAGUGGCGAAGGCGACCUUCUGGACGAAGACUGACACUCAGGUGCGAAAGCGUGGGUAGCAAACAGGAUUAGAUACCCUGGUAGUCCAUGCCGUAAACGAUGUCGACUUGGAGGUUGUAAGCUUGACUUGUGGCUUCCGAAGCUAACGCGUUAAGUCGACCGCCUGGGGAGUACGGCCGCAAGGCUAAAACUCAAAUGAAUUGACGGGGGCCCGCACAAGCGGUGGAGCAUGUGGUUUAAUUCGAUGCAACGCGAAGAACCUUACCUGGUCUUGACAUCCAUAGAAUUUUUUUAGAGAUAAAAAAGUGCCUUCGGGAACUAUGAGACAGGUGCUGCAUGGCUGUCGUCAGCUCGUGUUGUGAAAUGUUGGGUUAAGUCCCGCAACGAGCGCAACCCUUAUCCUUUGUUGCCAACGGUUCGGCCGGGAACUCAAAGGAGACUGCCGGUGAUAAACCGGAGGAAGGUGGGGAUGACGUCAAGUCAUCAUGGCCCUUAUGACCAGGGCUACACACGUGCUACAAUGGUGUAUACAAAAAGAAGCAAUCUUGUAAAAGUUAGCAAAUCUUAUAAAAUACAUCGUAGUCCGGAUUGGAGUCUGCAACUCGACUCCAUGAAGUCGGAA